AUUGAACGCUGGCGGCAGGCCUAACACAUGCAAGUCGAGCGAGCGGCGGACGGGUGAGUAAUGUAUGGGGACUGCCCGAUAGAGGGGGAUAACUACUGGAAACGGUGGCUAAUACCGCAUACUAUCGGAUAACCCAUAUGGGAUUAGCUAGUGGGUGGGGUAAAGGCUCAACUAGGCGACGACCUCUAGCUGGUCUGAGAGGCUGAUCAGCCACACGUGGACUGAGACCCGGCCCCGACUCCUACGGGGGCAGCCGUGGGGAAUAUUGGACAAUGGGCGCAAGCCUUGUGCAGCCAUGCCGCGGGUUUGAAGAAGGCCUUCGGGUUGUAAAAUACUUUCAGCGGGGAAGCGGUACCCGCAGAAGAAGCACCGGCUAACUCCGUGCCAGCAGCCGCGGUAAUAC
rnacentral:rRNA from 1 species